rnacentral:rRNA from 1 species
CUACGGGCGGCUGCAGCAAGGAAUAUUGCGCAAUGGACGAAAGUCUGACGCAGCGACACCGCGUGGAGGAUGACGCAUUUCGGUGUGUAAACUCCUUUUAUAUGUCAAGAAAAUGACGGUAGCAUAUGAAUAAGCACCGGCUAACUCCGUGCCAGCAGCCGCGGUAAUACGGAGGGUGCAAGCGUUACUCGGAAUCACUGGGCGUAAAGGACGCGUAGGCGGGUUGGAAAGUCAGGUGUGAAAUCCUACAGCUUAACUGUAGAACUGCACUUGAAACUUCUAAUCUAGAGUAUGGGAGGGGGAGAUGGAAUUAGUGGUGUAGGGGUAAAAUCCGUAGAUAUCACUAGGAAUACCUAAAGCGAAGGCGAUCUCCUGGAACAUUACUGACGCUAAGGCGUGAAAGCGUGGGGAGCAAACAGGAUUAGAUACCCCAGUAGUC